rnacentral:rRNA from 1 species
GACGAACGCUGGCGGCGUGCUUAACACAUGCAAGUCGAACGGAAAGGCCUGCUUUCCCUUGUGGAUUGCGGGUACUCGAGUGGCGAACGGGUGAGUAACACGUGAGUGAUCUGCCCCCAACUUGGGUAUAAGCCUGGGAAACUGGGUCUAAUUCCCGAUAGGACUGCAGGGUGGUGCCUGUGGUGGAAAACGAUUUUCUAGUGGUUGGGGAUGAGCUCGCGGCCUAUCAGCUUGUUGGUGGGGUAAUGGCCUACCAAGGCGGCGACGGGUAGCCGGCCUGGGAGGGUGGACGGCCACAUUGGGACUGAGAUACGGCCCAGACUCCUACGGGAGGCAGCAGUGGGGAAGAUGGCACAAUGGGCGGAAGCCUGAGGCAGCGACGCCGCGUGGGGGAUGACGGCCUUCGGGUGGUAAACUCCUUUCGACCGCGAGGAAGCCACCUGGUUGGAAGGGUGGUGACGGUAGUGGUAGAAGAAGCACCGGCUAACUACGUG